UUUAAGAGAAUCUCACACUAGUGAGAGGUUCUCACGAGUAGUAUUUAGUGGCGGACGGGUGAGUAACACGUUGGAACCUGCCCCGAAGUGGGGAAUAACUGCUCGAAAGAGUAGCUAAUACCCCAUAGUAUCCGGUUUAUCCGGAUUAAAGAUUUAUCGCUUCGGGAGGGGCCUGCGUCUGAUUAGCUUGUUGGUGAGGUAAAAAGCUCACCAAGGCGACGAUCAGUAGCUGGUUCGAGAGGAUGACCAGCCACACUGGGACUGAGAUACGGCCCAGACUCCUACGGGAGGCAGCAGUGAGGAAUCUUCCACAAUGGACGAAAGUCUGAUGGAGCAAUACCGCGUGCAGGAAGACGCUUUUCGGAGUGUAAACUGCUUUUGUCGUCGAAGAUUAUGACUGUAGACGAAGAAUAAGGACCGGCUAACUACGUG
rnacentral:rRNA from 1 species